GACGAACGCUGGCGGCGUGCUUAACACAUGCAAGUCGAACGAUGAACCGAGAGCUUGCUCUUGGGGAUUAGUGGCGAACGGGUGAGUAACACGUGAGUAACCUGCCCUGGACUCUGGGAUAACCCCGAGAAAUCGGAGCUAAUACCGGAUAGGACCCUGUACCGCAUGGUGUGGGGUGGAAAGUUUUUUCGGUUUGGGAUGGACUCGCGGCCUAUCAGCUUGUUGGUGAGGUAAUGGCUCACCAAGGCGUCGACGGGUAGCCGGCCUGAGAGGGUGACCGGCCACACUGGGACUGAGACACGGCCCAGACUCCUACGGGAGGCAGCAGUGGGGAAUAUUGCACAAUGGGUGCAAGCCUGAUGCAGCAACGCCGCGUGCGGGAUGACGGCCUUCGGGUUGUAAACCGCUUUUAGUAAGGAAGAAGGGGAGCUUGCUCCUUGACGGUACUUGCAGAAAAAGGACCGGCUAACUACGUGCCAGCCGCCGCGGUAAUAC
rnacentral:rRNA from 1 species